rnacentral:rRNA from 1 species
AGAGUUUGAUCCUGGCUCAGGACGAACGCUGGCGGCGUGCCUAAUACAUGCAAGUCGAGCGCAGGAAAUCGACGGAACCCUUCGGGGGGAAGUCGACGGAAUGANNNNNNNNNNGUUAGGAACGCGUGAGCAACCUGCCCUGUACAGGGGGAUAGCCACUGGAAACGGUGAUUAAUACCCCAUAAACCCACAAGACCGCAUGGUCAAAUGGGCAAAGUUCCAACGGUACAGGAUGGGCUCGCGUCUGAUUAGCUAGUUGGUGAGGUAACGGCUCACCAAGGCGACGAUCAGUAGCCGACCUGAGAGGGUGAACGGCCACACUGGAACUGAGACACGGUCCAGACUCCUACGGGAGGCAGCAGUGGGGAAUAUUGCACAAUGGGCGCAAGCCUGAUGCAGCAACGCCGCGUGAGUGAUGAAGGCCUUCGGGUCGUAAAACUCUGUCCUAAGGGAAGAACAAGUGCCGCAGGCAAUGGCGGCACCUUGACGGUACCUGACGAGGAAGCCCCGGCUAACUACGUGCCAGCAGCCGCGGUAAUACGUAGGGGGCAAGCGUUGUCCGGAAUUACUGGGCGUAAAGGGCGAGUAGGUGGUUUAUUAAGUCAGAAGUGAAAACUCCGGGCUCAACUCGGAGACUGCUCCUGAAACUGGUAGACUUGAGUGCAAGAGAGGGAAGUGGAAUUCCUAGUGUAGCGGUGAAAUGCGUAGAUAUUAGGAGGAACACCAGUGGCGAAGGCGACUUCCUGGCUUGUAACUGACACUGAGGCGCGAAAGCGUGGGGAUCAAACAGGAUUAGAUACCCUGGUAGUCCACGCCGUAAACGAUGAGUGCUAGGUGUCGGGGGUAUCGACCCCUUCUGUGCCGAAGUUAACACAUUAAGCAUUCCACCUGGGGAGUACGUACGCAAGUAUGAAACUCAAAGGAAUUGACGGGGACCCGCACAAGCGGUGGAGUAUGUGGUUUAAUUCGACGCAACGCGAAGAACCUUACCAAGGCUUGACAUCCAGUAAAAACUGUAGAGAUACAGUGUGCCUUCGGGCGUACUGAGACAGGUGGUGCAUGGUUGUCGUCAGCUCGUGUCGUGAGAUGUUGGGUUAAGUCCCGCAACGAGCGCAACCCUUAUUUUCAGUUACUAACCGUAACGGUGGGAACUCUAGAGAGACUGCCGAGGAUAACUCGGAGGAAGGUGGGGAUGACGUCAAAUCAUCAUGCCCCUUAUGAUCUGGGCUACACACGUGCUACAAUGGCGAUAACAAAGGGCAGCAAGCCCGCAAGGGGGAGCGGAUCUGAGAAAAGUAGUCCCAGUUCGGAUCGUGGGCUGCAACCCGCCCACGUGAAGUCGGAGUUGCUAGUAAUCGCGGAUCAGCAUGCCGCGGUGAAUACGUUCCCGGGCCUUGUACACACC